GGGCAAUUGGUCUAGUGGUAUGAUUUUCCCUUAGCAUGGGAAAGGUCCUGGGUUCAAUUCCCAGAUUGUCCA